rnacentral:rRNA from 1 species
UACGAAGGGGGCUAGCGUUGCUCGGAAUCACUGGGCGUAAAGGGUGCGUAGGCGGGUCUUUUAAGUCAGGGGUGAAAUCCUGGAGCUCAACUCCAGAACUGCCUUUGAUACUGAGGAUCUUGAGUUCGGGAGAGGUGAGUGGAACUGCGAGUGUAGAGGUGAAAUUCGUAGAUAUUCGCAAGAACACCAGUGGCGAAGGCGGCUCACUGGCCCGAUACUGACGCCGAGGCACGAAAGCGUGGGGAGCAAACAGGG